rnacentral:lncRNA from 1 species
AAUGAACUCUACAAGAUUGUCCGAUCAAAAUCCUAAAUAGAGUUAAUUACCUUUAAGCUUUUGGGUAGAUUUGGAGCUCUUAGUGAGCAUCAACUAAAGUUCAGGUAAGGGAAGCUAGUCUUAUUAUUUUCAAUAAAACCCUAGGUUAGAAGAUUCUGGAUGUGGAGGUGACGUGGUCACCAAUUCCAAUUGUUUUUGCUUGCAGGAUUGUCUCUCUUGAAGAGUAAAGUAAUAUAUU